rnacentral:lncRNA from 1 species
UACCACCUUUUCCCUAAAGGAACCGUAGUCCUCUUUUUUAAAUAUACCAAAUUGGAUUCACUAGCAGCCUAGCAGCUGCCUGGCAUUGACUUUUAGGAGCCCCUGGGUCAUGCCCCGGGGUUUGGAGGCAGACAACACAUGGGGUGGGGGAUGGGGAGCUGAAAGAUGAGCUUCAGAUCAUAGGUUCAGGAGGAGAUCGGGGCAUCCCUCUUCCUGAAUGUGGCAGCUUGAGACUGGCAGCGCUGGUCCUUUAAUCCCUCUCGCAGUGGCUCAAGGGCUGUCUGUGCUGGUAGCAGUUGCUUGAUGACUCUCUGGGCUCCACCUCCAUGGGACUGCUGUAAAGAGAUACACCAGCCAGCCAGCCAGCCAGCCAGCUAGUCACUUGGGAGGUUCUUGAUUUUUAUGACAACGCCCUUGCUUUUUCUUCCUCCUUCCCUUGCUUUAUACCUUUGUUCCUGUUUGGGACUGUGGCUGUUUAUGGCUCAUCUCCUUUCCAUUUAUCACAUCUGAUCAGCCAGAAGAAUGUUCUUUGCAAGGGGAAAGCUGUACUUGAGGUAGGCAGAUCUGGAGGGGAGGGACUUUGUCCUCAGUCUCUUCUUCCUUCUUGCCCACCAGUGAAGAGCAGCGCCCUCGGAGCAUGGAAGAAGGGGGAAGGAUGUCAAGAUGGUUCCUAGAAGCAGGCAAAUGAUGAUGGGUAAGAAUCUUCCCUCUUGGGCUACACUAGCAUAAUAAGCUCAUUUAUGCUUUUUUGAGGGUUACACUUUCUUCAGCAUAAUCUCAUAGAUGCCAUUUACAUGUGUACAGAUCCAUCCUUGUACUAAGGUACCAUAACGUUUUGUUGUGAUACUUGCCUGUUGGACACCUAGCCCAUACCAGAUGAAAGAGCCCAACUGCGUCUCGGAAUGUGUUUUUAAUUGAUAGCCAGUACCUGCAGUGCAUCCAGGGGACACGUAUACUCUCCAAUCAGCCUGCCUCAAAUGUGGAAUUUCAAUGGGAUGACACAAUGUUGUCUCCCUUUUACUGCUCUCCUGUGUUUUUUUCAUCCACUUUUUUUAACCACAAGAUGGAAUAGUUGCAGAGUGUAUUGAUUGGUAGAACUAUGAGCUGUCUAAAAGCACUCCAGGUUCUUGGAAAAAGAUGCCAUAUAACAGCCUUCACAAACCUGGUGCCUUCUAGGUAGGUUGGAUUUUAACCUCCAUAGCCAGGCCAACCUCCUUGCAAUCCAGGCCACCAA